rnacentral:snoRNA from 11 species
UGGAUGAUGAUGAGAUGGUAUCUGAAUGACCUUUGUCGAAAAACCUACUACCAUUUCUGCUGCCUUCCUUCUGAUCGC